rnacentral:rRNA from 1 species
AGGAGAGAUGGUUUAAAGGGGUGCGAGAGCUUCUUUCUUGUACCUGCUCUAGGAUGGGACUGCGGCCGAUCAGGCUGUUGGUGGGGUAAUGGCCCACCAAACCUGUAACCGGUACGGGCCUUGAGAGAGGGGGCCCGGAGAUGGACACCGAGAGAAGGGUCCAGGUCCUACGGGGCGCAGCAGGCGCGAAACCUUCGCAAUGCGCGAAAGCGUGACGAGGUUAAUCCGAGUGGUCCCCGCUGAGGGGAUCUUUUCUUGGCUCUAAAACGGCCAGGGAAUAAGGGGAGGGCAAGUCUGGUGUCAGCCGCCGCGGUAAUACCAGCUCCUCGAGUGGUCGGGGCGAUUAUUGGGCCUAAAGCAUCCGUAGCCUGUUCCGUAGGUCUUCUGUUAAAUCCAACGGCUUAACCGUUGGCCUGCAGAAGAUACCGCGGGACUAGGAGGCGGGAGAGGUGGACGGUACUCUACGUGUAGGGGUAAAAUCCUUUGAUCCGUAGAAGACCACCAGUGGCGAAGGCGGUCCACCAGAACGCGCUCGACGGUGAGGGAUGAAAGCUGGGGGAGCGAACCGGAUUAGAUACCCGGGUAGUCCCAGCCGUAAACGAUGCGAGCUAGAUGAUCCAAUCGCAAAUCGCGAUUGGAGUGUCGCAGGGAAGCCGUUA